rnacentral:rRNA from 1 species
GGGUUGUGAGGUUAAGCGACUAAGCGUACACGGUGGAUGCCCUGGCAGUCAGAGGCGAUGAAGGACGUGCUAAUCUGCGAUAAGCGUCGGUAAGGUGAUAUGAACCGUUAUAACCGGCGAUUUCCGAAUGGGGAAACCCAGUGUGAUUCGUCACACUAUCAUUAACUGAAUCCAUAGGUUAAUGAGGCGAACCGGGGGAACUGAAACAUCUAAGUACCCCGAGGAAAAGAAAUCAACCGAGAUUCCCCCAGUAGCGGCGAGCGAACGGGGAGCAGCCCAGAGCCUGAAUCAGUAUGUGUGUUAGUGGAAGCGUCUGGAAAGGCGCGCGAUACAAGGUGACAGCCCCGUACACAAAAAUGCACAUGCUGUGAGCUCGAUGAGUAGGGCGGGACACGUGGUAUCCUGUCUGAAUAUGGGGGGACCAUCCUCCAAGGCUAAAUACUCCUGACUGACCGAUAGUGAACCAGUACCGUGAGGGAAAGGCGAAAAGAACCCCGGCGAGGGGAGUGAAAAAGAACCUGAAACCGUGUACGUACAAGCAGUGGGAGCACGCUUAGGCGUGUGACUGCGUACCUUUUGUAUAAUGGGUCAGCGACUUAUAUUCUGUAGCAAGGUUAACCGAAUAGGGGAGCCGAAGGGAAACCGAGUCUUAACUGGGCGUUAAGUUGCAGGGUAUAGACCCGAAACCCGGUGAUCUAGCCAUGGGCAGGUUGAAGGUUGGGUAACACUAACUGGAGGACCGAACCGACUAAUGUUGAAAAAUUAGCGGAUGACUUGUGGCUGGGGGUGAAAGGCCAAUCAAACCGGGAGAUAGCUGGUUCUCCCCGAAAGCUAUUUAGGUAGCGCCUCGUGAAUUCAUCUCCGGGGGUAGAGCACUGUUUCGGCAAGGGGGUCAUCCCGACUUACCAACCCGAUGCAAACUGCGAAUACCGGAGAAUGUUAUCACGGGAGACACACGGCGGGUGCUAACGUCCGUCGUGAAGAGGGAAACAACCCAGACCGCCAGCUAAGGUCCCAAAGUCAUGGUUAAGUGGGAAACGAUGUGGGAAGGCCCAGACAGCCAGGAUGUUGGCUUAGAAGCAGCCAUCAUUUAAAGAAAGCGUAAUAGCUCACUGGUCGAGUCGGCCUGCGCGGAAGAUGUAACGGGGCUAAACCAUGCACCGAAGCUGCGGCAGCGACGCUGAUGCGUUGUUGGGUAGGGGAGCGUUC